AGUAAACUGCACGCUUUAGUUUUGAGCAUAAAACGCUGAAACCGGAGAAAUAAAACGUGCGAGGGGAACGAUAACGACGACAAGAGUCUCCCGAUCAUUUAUUCUCGCUGUCCUGUGAACAACACCGGCGUGGUGUUAAUUGUUUGCUGUUUUCGCGAUCGUGUCGAGCAUGAGGCUAUCACCAGCUCCUGAAACGCAAGUCUGCCACACAUCUGUUCGACCAACGCCAGUUGAUCUAAACGCCAGUUGAUCUGGAACACCGGAAGGCAUCCAAGCGUUUUAACAAGAGCACGAGUCAGAAACAUUACGUCCUGCAGAAGCGGCAAAGAAGGACCGAAGGUUGCCGCUACAAAUAAUAUUGUUAAGCUUCUGGAUUCAUCGCCUGUGAUACUGACACAUAGCCAGUGCUCCUGUGUGGCAGGUAGUGGUGGGCGGAUCGAUCCAAAUAUCAAUAGUAUCGAUCCCAAGUCGGCAUCGGUAUCGGAUCGAUACUAGCCUGGUGAGAUCGAUUCUUUACUUUGAGUUCUGCUUCUUUGCUAUGCUGUGCUUUCGGCAAAAACGAAACAACCAGAUCGCUGGACUUGCCGCUCCUGUGUCAGCGGAGAGCAGGCACACUUUGCUCCCUCUCCCCCAUUGUUAUGUUUCGGUGUUGCGCUGACACGUCACGUGACUUAGACACUUUGGGGGUUGUUAAGUUGUUUACAUAUUAAUUAUAUAUUUUGUUUUUGUUUUUGAGAAUUUUAAUUGUAACUUUUGUAUUAUAGUUUAUCAACAGUAUUUGUUUUAAUUUGUUUACUGGUUUGCGUGCACUUAAAAUAAAAAAAAAGCAUUUUCAUGCUUCGCAGCACCAUUUAUUCUUACAAUAUUCACAUGGUUGCUGUAACAGUAUAUUCAACGGCUUCAGCUCUCCCACUGGCAGCCAUACACAUCACCACCACCAAACCUGCAGCGGCAUCACAAAACACGCCCUGCCACAUAACCCCCUCGCCCGCUCCACCCCACCCCGCGAGCAGACGAGGGAAUCGGCCCGGACCAUCGGUGCCCAAUGCCCCAGCCCAGCGACGGGGAUGUGUCCACUCUGGCGGUUGCCCGUGCCUGAUGGCCACCCAUAUGGCAAGCAGCGGUGGCGCAGCAGGCGUGGAAAUGAGCUGGGGCUCACAGGCAGACAGCAGGACCAUGCAACCUGUGUGCCGAAGCGGACAGCAUGCUGCCCUCAGGCGUGGCAGGACCCCCGCACACCUCGACCAUCCUCGGUUUUACCCCAACCGGCAGGGGCUGCGACAUGCCCUAUGUGGUUUUGCUGGUCCAGGAGGAAGUAGGGGUGGACCGCCUUUUCUGUUGGGCACAGUUUUCUCAUGUUUAGUUAGUUAGGGAGGUAAGUGACUGUUGUUUUGUUAUGUUAUUUUGGGGCUAGGUAAGUACACGCUCCCGUGAGUUAGUUUCCCUUUUUGUUUGUUAUUUUGGCCUGGGUCCACCCCGAAGCCUGAGUGACUCCUGUGAUCUCUUUUCUUUGGUGUGUUUGUAAAUAAAACUGUU